rnacentral:rRNA from 1 species
GAUGAACGCUGGCGGCGUGCCUAAUACAUGCAAGUCGAACGCGACACCUUCGGGUGUCGAGUGGCGGACGGGUGAGUAACACGUGGGUAACCUGCCCAUCAGCCUGGGAUAACCACCGGAAACGGUGGCUAAUACCGGAUAUGUCUACGGAUGAAAGUCGGGUUUUCUGACACUGAUGGAUGGACCUGCGGCGCAUUAGCUAGUUGGUGAGGUAGUGGCUCACCAAGGCGACGAUGCGUAGCCGACCUGAGAGGGUGAUCGGCCACACUGGGACUGAGACACGGCCCAGACUCCUACGGGAGGCAGCAGUAGGGAAUCUUCCGCAAUGGACGCAAGUCUGACGGAGCAACGCCGCGUGAGUGAAGAAGGUUUUCGGAUCGUAA